UUUGUCGUAGCGCGGUGGUCCCACCUGACCCCAUGCCGAACUCAGAAGUGAAACGCCGUAGCGCCGAUGGUAGUGUGGGGUCUCCCCAUGCGAGAGUAGGGAACUGCCAGAC
rnacentral:rRNA from 1 species